ensembl:lncRNA
GUGUUGCUCUUGACAGGGAACAGAGUGAUGGCCAUUGGGAGCAAGCUGAGCUAGGAGGUGGUGCCUGGAAGCUCCUUCUAUAAUUAUCCAAGGAGAAGGAAAAAGAGGAAAACAGAAAUCUAGAAGUAAAGCUAAGAACCGAGAUACCAUAAACCAGAAAGGGCUAAUAGAUGAGCCCAGAGAAAAGGCAGCACAGCUGGUGAGGAGAACACAGCGAACUAUGCUAAGAGCAGGGUAAGAUACUUAAGACUGCAGCCUGCCGGCGCCAAUAGCAGGGCACCUUCAUGCAGGGGCUCUGUCUGUGUUUCAGGCUCAGAUUACUUAAAGAGCCUUAGUAAGCCAGUCUCCUUCCCUGUGUCUGCCUUCGUCAGCUUGUAUUUUGGCCUUUCUCAUGUUAUCUCAAGUCCUUCUUGUGUGGCAUGCUCAGUAGCUUUAGUUGCAUCUGACUCUGCCCCCCAGGCUCCUCUGUCCAAGAGAUCCUCCAGGCAGGAAUACUGGAGUGAGUUGCUAUGUCCUCCUCCAGGGGCUCUUUCCAACUCAGGGAUCAAACCUGCAUCUCUUAUGUCUCCUGCAUUGGCAGUGCUGCUUGGCCGGCAGGAUCUUAGUUCCCUAACCAGGGAUGGAACCUGUGCCCACUUCAGUGGAAGCAUAGAGUCUUAACCAUUGGACCACCAGGGAAGUCAAAAAAGUGGACAUCCUUGAGCCCCACUGACAGCGAUUCACAUGGAAGAGAAGCCCAUAACCUAGACACAGGAGAAGCAGACAUCGUCUGUGGCAGAAGAAGCACAGCCGGUGGGAGAAGAGUCCUGAGAGACACACAGAGCUAGUCUUCCUUGCAAUCUGUGGACUCUCCAGUUGGAGCUCAUGAUCUUAGUUGCCCCAUGGCCUGUGGGAUCUUAGUUCCCUGACCAGGGGUCAAACCCACCAGUUAUAAAGCACAUCUCCUGUGUUGGAAGGUGAAUUCUCAACCAUCAGGCCACCAGAGAAGUCCCUCAAAUUAAAGACAUCUUAAUAAUUGCUGUCAAAAGUUCUCCCUACUCUAUUCAGUUCUAUUCACAGGAAACUUUCCACGAUCUUUGUUCUAAGGAGUUCCCUACUUGACAAAUUUCCUGUGACUGGACCUUGAGAGAAAACUGGUAUUCGUGACAGGGUGAUGUAUUC